rnacentral:lncRNA from 1 species
GAAUAUACAACUAUGUACCGGGGGGUUUGGGGGAGAUAAAAGGAAAAAAAAAUAAAAUAAAAUCUUUAAAAAACAAAAAAAUCUUGUGUUUCCAGUAGACGUGUGCCACUGGAUAUCUCUCCAGUUGAGAAGGGGUUGGCAAACUAUAGCCUGUGGGCCAAGUCUGCCCUGCCAUCUGUUCUUAUACAGCCUGCAAGCUAAGAAUGGUUUUUACAUUUUUUAAUGGUUGGAAAAAUCAAAAGAAUAAUAUUUCAUGACACGUGAACAUCAUGUGAAAUUCAAAUUUCAUUGUGCAUAAAUUAAGCGUUCUUGGAACCUAGCCAGGUUCCUUUGAAUUGCCUGUGGCUGCUUUCAUGCUACAGCAGCAGAGAUGAGCGGUCACGAGUAGUUCUGACAGAGACCUUAUGGCCCAGAAAUCCUAAAACAGUUCCUGUCUGGGCCUUUCUAGAAGAAGCUUGUCAAUCCCAGCUCUAGAGUGCAACUGAAGUGAUGCUACCUGAGUCCCCAGGCUGGAUUGUCAAAGGCGAUGCAGCUCCGCCCUGGUGACAGGAGUACUCAACUCUGAAGGCUUCGGCCACCACAUAAGCAGCCCGAGGGCCCUGGAGUCAUCGUGGUUAAGAAUCCGCAAACCUGCUGACAUGGAGAGUCCCUGAAACUACCUGAGAGUGAGCCACCCCAGGCCCCAGUCCCCCAAACCUCCACUGCUAGUGCAUUAUAAACCCGAAGCCAGAACAGCCCAGAUGAGUCCCACCUGAAUUCUAGAGCACAGAAACCACGAGCAAUCAUGGAAUGAUUGUUGUUGCUUUAAGCUGCCACAUUCUGGGGUGACUUGUUACGCAGCAGUAAGUAACUGGAGCAUUGCUGUUCCUUUUCACUACUCCAACAGCCGCUUCCUCACCCCCUCUCAUUCCAUUUGUGCUGCACUGUGUUGUCGUUUCCAAUCAUCGAUUUCCUCCUCUGAAAGAGCAUUUUAUAUCAGCAUCCUUGUUAUGAUUCCUCAUUCCUUUGUUUGGCUUGGCCACGCGGCUUGCCUGGGCCCAUGGAGAGAACUAGCAAUGAAGAGGAUCUACGCGCGGGGGACAGGAUCCAGGAAGGAAUGCAGAGGCAUCAGGACAAGAAGUGUCUGGAGUAGAUGAAUCAGCUUUAGAAAAACCUUCCUUUU